UAAUCUCAGGAGGUCCUGCUCGGUCC
rnacentral:piRNA from 1 species